ensembl:lncRNA
CUUCAUUUGGGAGAUGGAGUGUUCUGUAGCUAGAAAUCCUAUUGCUAGCUGGAAUCUGUCUACAAGGUCUGGAUCACAUCCUGUAGGUAUGACAAGCUUGACUUGAAGUUAACUGAAAGUGAAGCAGUCACCAUUUUAAGCUAAUGAGAUCUGUUUCUCCACAGUCACACUGCUUUUCUGAAGAAUACUGACAAGUUUAGCAAGAAAUGGGAGAAAAUGAUGGGUAUCAAUACUUAGAAAUGAUUAUAUUAUUAUGAUAUAUACACUGAUGCAGGAAUCACUGUUGUUAACAAUGAGGUCAAACAAGGAAUGAGAGUGGUGGUGGUAGGGAGAAAACAGAAGCAGAACUUGAUAUAGAUGGGAGGCAGAGCAAGAUCUCAGACCAGCUGUUGUCCUAACUAAAAAGCCUUUACAAGUAUUCCUGAGCAUUAUUUUCAUUAAUUCAUGCUCCCUCCACUGCCUUUAAAUAAACGAAUGACUCCCAUCCUCUCAUUAAUCCAUGAAGAAGCUUUGAUCCAGUUUUUACAAGUGCAGUUCUUUGUAGAAGAAAAGAGAAACGUUCUCUUCCUUCCCCACCCCUUCCUCCCCUCCUGUCUUCUUCCCAGAGGAACUUUUUGGCUCUACUGUUAGCCAGAAAUAGAAUGAAGCCUGCUGACUGCAAGCUUCUGUUGGACAAAUAAUAUAGCUUGCUUUAAACAUAUCGGUACCCACAGUUGAGCCAGGCAAACAGAUGGAAAAAGUUUGAAAUAAAGCUGUG